GGACAACGGGUCAAAGGUCAGCUAGUCAGAGACACGACGGCGCCGCUCACCUGCCAACCGACCGCUCGCCACGACGCCUCGACCCGACUGCCCAUCGUCACGGCAACACUCUGCCUCUGAGUGCAGGUCGAUAUUCGCCCGCCCCUCACAGCUGAGUGAGAGAGAGAGAGUGUGCGUGUGUGUGUGUGUGUGUCGGCCUCAGGCCAAUCAUUGAUCAGCUCUUGUUUCCAGAACAGGAAGUCCAGCUGAAUCGAUCCGGACCGGACCGGCACUCAGAGCCACUCGGCUAUCAGCAGGUGUGUGAUGAUGUCAUACAGGUGACAUCAUCAUCCGGGUCGUCAGAACCGCCAGAACAUUUCACUGGAGGAGACAAACUUGGAUUAGGACAACUGGACUCAUCCAGAACCACAGAACCAGAGGACAGGAAGGUCUGGACCGCAGCAAGGAAACCAAAACCAGGACCGGACCGGAAACUGGACCCAGACCGGAUCACCUGAACCGGUCCAGUUAACGGUGCUGCUGCGGGGAUCAGAGCCGUAAUCGUGAUUUUCCGCUCCACUUAGUCCGUCUGGGUCACGUGACCAGCAGCCAAUCAGGGCGCAUCGAUCGCCCGUCUGUCAGGACUUCUGGGUUUCUGCUUCCUGAUCUUCCUCCAGGCGUUUCUACUCAGAUUUCAUAUCUACAUAUUUUUCCUAGACGUUUCUGGUUCUGGUGGUUUUUCAUGAAGCGGAUCGGAAAACAUUCUGGGUUUUCUGGAGCUUCUGGUUGUUUUGUUGGUUUUGUUUCUGGUUUUGGUCGGGAUCUUUUCCAGAUCCUUCUCCACUCACAUUCAGGACAGACAUUUUUUUCUGCAUAUUCAAGAUCAUGUUCAGGUUUUAAUCUAGAAGUUGGAUGUGAAUCAUUAGAGACGUUUAUUCAGUCCACAGAUAUCUGGGAAAACAAAGAUAUUUCUAUGUUUUCAUCCAGACCAAAACUCUGCUGAAUAAAAAUGAUUAUUUAUAAAUCUUCAGACUAAAGUGGAGGUUGAAAUAAACUGUUCCAUUAUCUCUACAUUCUAACACACUGUUUAAAAGGAAUCCAACGGGGCGCCAUGUUGGAUUCCUAACAGGAAGUGGUGGCUGUCAGGGUUCAGCUAAUCGCUACACUGCCCCCUGUGGGUGAGAGUGUUUAUAGCAACGCUCAGGGCAGAUCGGUUCAUGGGGAUGAAAACUUGAAGCCGAUCCUGCAGGUACAGUGUUAUUUAAACACCGUUUCCAUAGCGACUCGUGUUAAUAUUCGCUGCUUUUCCAACAAAACAGAAACCAGGGUUUCCCCCAGUGUAUUAUAAGCCUGGCGACCCGCCAUGCUCUACUAGCCCCCCGCCAGGCUAAGUGUUUAUGUUUUUUAGGAAAAUAAUCAUUAAAAAAAAGAAAAAGGAAAUCGCUUCUUUUUUUUAAAGCCGGAUUACAAGCGUCCCUGUUGCUCUGAGCGUUUCACCGGCGGAGCAAAUUUAUUCCUAAAAGAUGAGUUUAUAGUUUAUGCAUCUAAAGCCAGGAGAGCGGACCAAUCACAUCGCUGCAGCCUCUACUUGCUGCGCACCUUUCACUCAAACUGGACACAGGCUGACCUGUAUAGAUGUUUACAUCACCAACCUGUGUGGAAUCAUGUUUCUCUGGAGAACUCCACAUCAGGGUCGGAGUUUAAACCCACUGCAUUAGCUCUGGUUGUGCAGCUCUACGUGAACCGCAGGAAUAACUUGAAGUUGCUUUCAGAGGAGCGUUGAGAAUGAUUUAUAUUUGAUUCAUAACAAAGAAUGACGCGGCCGUUUCCAUCUCCACACGUUGCCCAGCGCCCGGCUCUGUCUGCGCUGAUGAAGUUCAGAUUGUUCCCGGUUGGUGGGACAAUUUAAAAUCUCUUCAUCAAAUUAAGCAGCUUUGAUCAUCUGAAGAUGGACUCGAGUCUCGGACUCAGACAAGUCAAGACUUGGGUCUGAGGAUUCUCCCUGUUCAUCAUCGAGUGACAGGCGUGUUUAAUCCGAGUCGUCGUUCAGGUCGAUCCCCAGGGUCUCCAGGUUGAUCUCCAGGACGUUUUCCAGGUCUCCAGGUCAUUCCCCAGGUUUCCAGGUCGUUCUCCAGGAUGUUGCGCAAGUUUCCAGGUCGUUCCCCAGGUCUCCAGGUCGGUCUCCAGGUCGAUCUCCAGGUCGUUCCCCAGGUCUCCAGGUCGAUCUCCAGGUCGGUCUCCAGGUCGUUCCCCAGGUCUCUAGGUCGGUCUCCAAGUCAUUCCCCAGGUCGGUCUCCAGGUCAUUCCCCAGGUCGGUCUCCAGGUCGUUCCCCAGGUCGAUCUCCAGGUCGUUCCCCAGGUCGAUCUCCAGGUCGUUCCCCAGGUCUCCAGGUCGGUCUCCAGGUCGUUCCCCAGGUCUUCAGGUCGGUCUCCAGGUCGUUCCCCAGGUCUCCAGGUCGGUCUCCAGGUCGUUCCCCAGGUCUUCAGGUCGGUCUCCAGGUUGUUCCCCAGGUCUCCAGGUCGGUCUCCAGGUUGUUCCCCAGCUCUCCAGGUCGGUCUCCAGGUCGUUCCCCAGGUCUCCUGGUCGGUCUCCAGGUCGUUCCCCAGGUCUUCAGGUCGGUCUCCAGGUUGUUCCCCAGGUCUCCAGGUCGGUCUCCACGUCUCCCUCCAGGUGUGUUC